UUACCUGGUCUUGACAUCCACGGAAUUUGGCAGAGAUGCCUUAGUGCCUUCGGGAACCGUGAGACAGGUGCUGCAUGGCUGUCGUCAGCUCGUGUUGUGAAAUGUUGGGUUAAGUCCCGCAACGAGCGCAACCCUUAUCCUUUGUUGCCAGCGGUCCGGCCGGGAACUCAAAGGAGACUGCCAGUGAUAAACUGGAGGAAGGUGGGGAUGACGUCAAGUCAUCAUGGCCCUUACGACCAGGGCUACACACGUGCUACAAUGGCAUAUACAAAGAGAAGCGACCUCGCGAGAGCAAGCGGACCUCAUAAAGUAUGUCGUAGUCCGGAUUGGAGUCUGCAACUCGACUCCAUGAAGUCGGAAUCGCUAGUAAUCGUGGAUUCAGAAUGG
rnacentral:rRNA from 1 species